CCCUGAUUUAUAAGAAGCACUGAGCCUCAGCACAGGUUUGGCACAAGACCUCCUGAGCAGGACAUGUAACCCACAAACAUAGCCAGUGUCCAAGGCUGCUCACAACUUUGCUUCUUGUGAGAAAUAAAGAAGACGAUGAUCUUAAAAAGGAUAAUUAUACUUCAAGAAACUCCCCACGUUUAAGGAAUAUACCUGUUGUGUUUCCCUGAGGCCUCACUCUGCCAUUCUGAGGAGUAAAAUGAUAAAUCCAGAGGGUUUACCACUGAUCAUGGGGAAACAAAGCAGGGACUGGCCCCACUGUGAACCUGAUGGAUAAAAUGAGAGAAGAUGGAUGGACGGACAGGCGGAUGGAUGCUUUUAGUAAUUUCAUUAAAAAUCAUUCUUACUUCUGUGCUGUCUCUUUGAAUGCAUUGAAUUCAACUAUAUUGUCAUCGCACUGUCACAAGAACAAAGCAACGAAAUUCACUCUGUCCAUUUAACCCAUUCCCUUGGGGAGCAGUGGGCUGCCAUUGUGCGGCGCCUUGCGAGCAGUAUGGAGUUAAGGGUCCUGCUCAGGGACACGGAGUGGCAGUUUUUGGGACUGGGACUUGAACUCAGAACCUCUGGGAUAAAAAUGUUAUUAAAUUAGCGUUGCACCGAUACCAGUAUCGGACGGAGCACCAAUCCAGCACUACAAUGGUGGUUUUGAUAUUGGCGAGUACCAACAAAUAGGGCA